GCAAGUCGUGCGAGAAAGUCGACUUCGGUCGAUGAGUAGAGCGGCGAACGGGUGAGUAACACGUGGAUAACCUGCCUAGGAGCGGGGGACAACCUGGGGAAACUCGGGCUAAUACCGCAUACGUUCUAAGAGUCAUGGCGCUGAGGGGAAAGGUGGCCAAGUCUUGAAAGCUAGCACUACUAGAGGGGUCCGCGCUCGAUUAGCUUGUUGGUGGGGUAAUGGCCUACCAAGGCUGCGAUCGAUAGCCGGCCUGAGAGGGCGAUC
rnacentral:rRNA from 1 species